AUAGAUAGGCGUAAGUCCUUAAUAGAUUGUUCUAGAUGUUCCCAUCCAUCGGUUGGCCAUAGUCUAGACAUCACAAAUUUAUUAGGCAGCCACCCCG
rnacentral:sRNA from 1 species